rnacentral:rRNA from 1 species
CCUACGGGAGGCAGCAGUGAGGAAUAUUGGUCAAUGGCCGGAAGGCUGAACCAGCCAUGCCGCGUGAAGGUCAGUGCCCUAUGGGCGUUAAACUUCUUUUGUGCGGGAGCAAUAAUGCUCACGUGUUGCCACACGAGAGUACCGUGCGAAUAAGCAUCGGCUAACUCCGUGCCAGCAGCCGCGGUAAUACGGGGGAUGCAAGCGUUAUCCGGGUUUAUUGGGUUUAAAAGGUGCGUAGGCUGGGAGGUAAGUCAGCGGUGAAAUUCCCCCGGUCAACGGGGGGAAGUGCCAUUGAUACUGCCUUGCUGGAAUGCGGAUGACGUGGGAGGAAUGUGUGGUGUAGCGGUGAAAUGCGUAAAUAUUAGGAGGAACACCAGUGGCGAAGGCGGCUUACUGGGCUUUAACUGACGCUGAGGCUCGAAAGCGUGGGUAGCAAACAGGAUUAGAUACCCGUGUAGUC